AAUAGAUACCCUGGUAGUCCUAGCCGUAAACGAUGAACACUAGGCGUAGUCGGUAUCGACCCCGGCUGUGCCGUAGCUAACGCAUUAAGUGUUCCGCCUGGGGAGUACGGCCGCAAGGCUAAAACUCAAAGGAAUUGACGGGGGGCCCGCACAAGCAGCGGAGCGUGUGGUUUAAUUCGUCGCAACGCGAAGAACCUUACCAGGGCUUGACAUGUGGCGGAAAACGGCGGAAACGUCGUCCUCCCGCAAGGGACCGUCAUGCAGGUGUUGCAUGGCUGUCGUCAGCUCGUGUCGUGAGAUGUUGGGUUAAGUCCCGCAACGAGCGCAACCCCCGUGGCAUGUUGUAUCUCUCAUGCCAGACUGCCGAGAGAAACUCGGAGGAAGGUGGGGAUGACGCCAAGUCAGCAUGGCCCUUACGUCCUGGGCUACACACACGCUACAAUGGCCGGUACAACGGGUUGCCAAACCGCGAGGUGAAGCUAAUCCCUUAAAGCCGGUCUCAGUUCGGAUUGCAGGCUGCAACUCGCCUGCAUGAAGGCC
rnacentral:rRNA from 1 species